rnacentral:rRNA from 1 species
UUUCCGUAGGUGAACCUGCGGAAGGAUCAUUAUUGAUUGGUCGAAAGACCUUAUCAGAUUCUACCACCUCUGUGAACUGUUGGACCUCUGGGUCUACAAUCAAACAUCAGUGUAACGAACGUAAGAGUAUCUUAACGAAACAAAACUUUCAACAACGGAUCUCUUGGCUCUCGCACCGAUGAAGAACGCAGCGAAAUGCGAUAAGUAGUGUGAAUUGCAGAAAUUGUGAAUCAUCGAAUCUUUGAACGCAAAUUGCACUUCCUGGCAACCCGGGGAGUAUGCCUGUUUGAGGGUCAGUAUUAAUAAAAAUCGGCGUGUUGCUCUUUCGUGACGUGCCGGAGUUUGGGUCAUCUUAUAACAGGUGUUUUAAGAGGCUUAAAAUUGAUACCUUUUUUGUGCAUUUUUAGACGUACAUAAAUUCUUUUUAUUCGUCUAUCUUAAUGCCAAAAUAUAUUAGAUGCGACCAUAUCGUGUGGUACCGUGUCUAUAAAUUUUCAUGAUUUGACCUCAAAUCAGGUAAGAAUGCCCGCUGAACUUAA